AGCAGCCGCGGUAAUUCCAGCUCCAAUAGCGUAUAUUAAAGUUGCUGCAGUUAAAAAGCUCGUAGUUGAAUUUCGGGACUAAUAUGUCGGUCGUGCCUCGGUACGUACUGGCUUAUUGGUUUCUCCUUUCUGAAGAACCAUGAUGUCAUUUAUUUGGUGUCGUGGGGAAUCAGGACUGUUACUUUGAAAAAAUUAGAGUGUUUAAAGCAGGCUCACGCUUGAAUACAUUAGCAUGGAAUAAUGAAAUAGGACGUUUGAUUCUAUUUUGUUGGUUUCUAGGAUCGACGUAAUGAUUAAUAGGGAUAGUUGGGGGCAUUAGUAUUCAAUUGUCAGAGGUGAAAUUCUUGGAUUUAUUGAAGACUAACUACUGCGAAAGCAUUUGCCAAGGAUGUUUUCAUUAAUCAAGAACGAAAGUUAGGGGAUCGAAGACGAUCAGAUACCGUCGUAGUCUUAACCAUAAACUAUGCCGACUAGGGAUCGGAUGAUGUUAAUUUUUUAAUGACUCAUUCGGCGCCUUACG
rnacentral:ncRNA from 4 species